GUUUUUAAUGAUCGUUUGCCUCAUCAACAAAGGUUGGUUUCGAGAUGUAUCAAUUAACAAUUAAGCCUCCAUGAAGUUAAAUAUGAAACUCUCUAGUAAAUUACGCACAAUAAAUGGUUUGGAGUGCCCCCUCUUGGUUUUGAAAGUUUGGUGCUCUUGGUCUCUAAUUUUUGACUGCCAUCGUAGUGCCCACUUUCUUUUCUUAAAUAAGCACGGAUGAGGAUCAUGAGGUUUCCAAAGUCUUCACAUCAGUGAUUCGCAUUUCAUAGCUUUGGAGGGAAAAUUGUACCAACAUGCGGAACAGUGUCACGUUGCCUAGAAAAUAAGCAACCAAAAGGUUCUUGUGACCUUCUUAAUUUUGAUAAAAUAUCUUCUUACCUUUUAGACCAUAUGUUAACUAUAGAAACAUGAAAUCUCUAAGGUCGAGCUAGAGAAAUUUCAAAUCCAGGCCCCAAAGGGAGCGAGAGAGACAUGCAUACUUGCAACACUUUUGUGAUUGAGUAAUGGUACUGGGCCUAGGCAUGGCAUGGGGGCCCUUCAUAGCUGUGGCCGCAUUUGACGAAAGGGGACUGGUGCAAUUUGGCACGUCUGUUUCAUAUCCAGUGGGUCUCUAAUGCAAAAGAACCAAUUCCCUCCCGAUACAUUGGCUCGAAGCCCCCUUGAUGCAAGGUUUGACCCCAAAAUUAAUAUUCUUUCAGUGAUACCCUCUUUCAGCACUAACUUUUAUUUCACAUUCAAAUCAAUUACAUUCUAAUUAAGCUCUCGAUUACCUCUCAA
rnacentral:lncRNA from 1 species